UACGUAGGGUGCAAGCGUUGUCCGGAAUUAUUGGGCGUAAAGAGCUCGUAGGCGGUCUGUCGCGUCUGCUGUGAAACUCAGGGCUUAACCCUGAGCUUGCAGUGGGUACGGGCAGACUAGAGUGCGGUAGGGAGACUGGAAUUCCUGGUGUAGCGGUGAAAUGCGCAGAUAUCAGGAGGAACACCGGUGGGCGAAGGCGGGUCUCUGGGCCGUAACU
rnacentral:rRNA from 1 species